AACGAACGCUGGCGGCAGGCUUAACACAUGCAAGUCGAACGGGUGUAGCAAUACAUCAGUGGCAGACGGGUGAGUAACACGUGGGAACCUUCCUAGAGGUACGGAACAACGCAGGGAAACUUGCGCUAAUACCGUAUAAGCUCUUGCGAGGAAAGAUUUAUCGCCUUUAGACGGGCCCGCGUCGGAUUAGCUAGUUGGUGAGGUAACGGCUCACCAAGGCGACGACCCGUAGCUGAUCUGAGAGGAUGAUCAGCCACACGGGGACGGAGACACGGCCCAGACUCCUACGGGGGGCAGAAGUGGGGAAUCUUGGACAAUGGGCGCAAGCCUGAUCCAGCCAUGCCGCGUGAGUGAAGAAGCCCUUCGGGUUGUAAAGCUCUUUUGUCAGGGACGAUAAUGACGGUACCUGAAGAAUAAGCCCCGGAAAACUUCGUGCCAGCCGCCGCGGUAA
rnacentral:rRNA from 1 species